CUUGGUUUGCUGACUGAUUUUGCGUGAAGGUGUUAUGUUAUCCAUACAGGAGAUUCCAAACUUGGAGAGGACUCCUGUCCAGGGGAAGCGUUAAAGGUGCUAAGACUUGCAAGUACUGGGAAAUACUUAUUCUUCUUCCUGGGGUUCGUAGAUUUUGUGCUAUUUCCCGUUCUCACAGCAGUGGGUGAUGAUGGGAUGUCUGUAAUACAGUUUGCUCUUCUUACAGAAUUUGUGCACAUUCAGGCUUUGUGAGAAGCUCACACCCCUGCACCUUUCAAGAAGUAGCUUUCAUUUUUGGUUUCAUAUAAGCAUUUUUGGUUUCAUAUAAGCAAAGGCAGGACACUGACUGUCACUUCACUCACUUUAGUUCCAUCUUUCACAUUUUCUGCAAUAGCUCUGCAAGAUGCGCACUUUAACCAGAACUUGAGAAUUAAGUUAUGUGCUAGAUGCCUGGAAAUGUUGGUUAGAGUGAGCAAACUUCCCUUCUUCAAAUGUCUGUCCCUCUUCUGAUACCUUAUUUUAAAAUAGCUGACCUGGAAAGUGGUAACAGACCUCCUCCAUCAACUCAUUUUUGAGGCAGUGUUUCAAAUGUGUAGAUAAAACUUAGACAUGCGUCUAAAAACCUGCCUAAGGGGAAGCAUACAGUAGAAUGGAAGCAUUAGUAAAUAGUCUUGUUAUUCAGUACAGAAGGAAAAUCCUUCAGAGAGCGUUUCCUGACUGCACCUCACUGCCCUUGUCAGUGCCAGGAGCAGCGGAUUGCUGCAGGCUGCACGACUGUUUCUUGGGUAGUUGUGGAGAUUUGCCCUGCACCUCCUCGUGCAUCCAGUGAUCACACGCAGCUGGGUGCCUUGUGGUUAUUAGCAAGUGAGAUGCUUUUUUAGGGAUGUGACAUUAAAAGUCUGAAUAAUGUUUGUUCCUUGAUUUGCUGUUGAAAUGUGUAGGUUUCUGAGAUGCCCUCUGUACUCCUUUAGCAUGUAGUAUUAAAAGGAGCUCAGCAAAAGUACAUUCAAAGCGUGGAGCAUAGUUUCCAGGAUUUACAGCUCCCUAAUUCCUGUGGGAUUUAUUCCCAGUGGCUCUAAUGGGUGUAUGUGUGACCUAAGUGACAUUGUAACACGAGGCUUUCCACCAGGCACUUGCAGGCAUUUCUCACUUCCUAACAGGGGAUGAAACAUACCUACCGUGAGCACAGCUGCAAAUCCAGAAGCGUGCAGCCAGCACCACUCCAAGAUUCUCCAUGCUGCUGUUUGGGCUUCGUGUGCCUGCCUGAGCCGAGUCUGACGGCCUCCUGGCCACCGCCUCACCCGUCUGCUUUAAGGUCUGCAACAGAGGAGAGGAAGAAAGCCGGGAACUCGGCGAGGAUGCUGGGUUAAGGAAGGAGGCACCUCAUAUCGUGUGAUAGCUCCCUUGUUGCCAGGCUGCAGGCUGGCAGGUGCGUCCUGCCCACAGCACCCUGAGUGCACACGCAGGCCUCCUGAAUCACGACCCAGCGCUGCAUGUACAGCUGGGUUCUUCCUGGGUGUUUAGGGAGACACAGGCUCCAAAGCCCUGCAGCAGGACCCAGACCCGCAUGCAUGCCCCAAACCCACACAGCAGGACCCAGACCCACACGGCAGGCCUUGAGCCCCCAUGGUUGGCAGGCACCAAAGCCACGUGGCAGGCCCCAAGCCUUCUGUAGCUCUGCGUGGGGCAGAAUUUUCCCUGGAACACAAGUUCUGGAGAUCUCUGUGAAGGGAAGACUCUGCUUGCACCUGGAGUUCUUCAAAGUAUUGGGCUUUAGAGCAACAUUCUACACCAAGGCAAAAAUGUGUUUUUGUCAACAUUAGGAGUCAAAGAAACGUGACAAAAGGAUAAAAAAAAGUGAACAAAGUCUCUGAAGAAGAACAUGAACAAGAAGAAAUUCUUUCCUAGAAAGAAUUGGUGAGAACAAAUUAUGAAGUCCAUCAGGAGUGGCUACGAGCAGCUGGUUUUAGAGGAUUCUGCAAUUCAGUGAAGGAAAGCCAAGGCUGUGGACUUCCUACACAGCUGUUUUCUCUGAGAAAUCCUGUGAUUUGGAAUUAUUCUCCUUCAAGAAAGUUAGCUGGUAAAUAAUUGGAUGGAUCUCUAAGGAAAAGCAAAUUGCAAAAUCAGAAGUCAAUAAAAGAAGCACUUGGGUUUGCAGUCAAAGAUCUCACUUGGGAAUAGAAGACAGGGAAGCCAUUAAUGUGUCCUAAGGGAAGCAACUGUUUGAAGCGGGGAUCUGGAAGAAACUUGGAGCUGCUAACUGUCCUGUCUGCUGCAGGACCAUCCACACUGAUUAAGCUUUUGUAUCUCAGAUCUCAAGCGCAUUUUAGUCUGAGCCUGCAAGUGCUGUAUGCACAGGUGUUUCCACGUCACAUUCACUAAGGAGGCAUUGCUCAGAGCUCUCUGCUAACGCUGUGCCUUUCAAAGGAGAAAAUCCUACACCCUGCCUUUGAGCUUCGAGAAUCAAGGAACAAAACAACUCAGAAUAAUCCCCUGAGAAGAAAAAGACCCACUGUCCUUCUGCCUGACCACUGACACUUGUUCCAGCCAGGGCAGGCAGAGCAGCGUGCAGGGGCCGACCAUGAGCGAGCAGAGCCACGUCAACAGCCUGUUCCUCAACGAGGACGCAGCCAAGCGGCUCCACGCCGAGGGCCGGGUGCAGCGCCUGCGGCAGGCCGUGCAGAAGCGGGCAGCGCGGGCCAAGAAGAGGAUGAGCAGCAUCACUGCUGACAGCGCCAAGAUCUUCUUCCGCAGAAACGCCUUUGUCCUCUUCACCAUCGCCGCGGUUUUGCUCGGGAUCAUCCUGGCCUUUUCCCUCAGGCCCUACCAGCUGACCUACCGCCAGAUCAAGUACUUCUCCUUCCCAGGAGAGCUGCUGAUGCGCAUGCUCCAGAUGCUGGUUCUUCCUCUCAUUGUCUCUAGCUUGAUUACAGGAAUGGCCUCUCUGGAUGGCAGAGCCUCAGGGAAGAUGGGUAUGCGGGCUGUGGUCUACUACAUGGUGACCACAAUCAUAGCAGUUUUCAUUGGCAUCCUCAUGGUGAUCAUCAUCCACCCAGGCAAAGGAUCUAAGGACAAGCUUCACCGAGAAGGCAGAAUUGAGCAGGUUCAGACCACAGAUGCCUUCAUGGACUUGGUGAGGAACAUGUUCCCACCCAACCUGGUAGAAGCCUGCUUCAAACAGUACAAGACGCAGUACAGCACCCGAGUCUUCACCAGAACCGUCCUUCACAGCAGCAAUCUCACAGCAAGCGUGGCAACCACUCAGCUCCCUGCGCCUGAGAACUCCACCGGCAUCCUGGAGAAUGUCACGCAGGCCCUGGGGACCAUCUCCGAGGUGCUGAGCUUUGAAGAAGUCAUUCCCAUCCCGGGCUCGGCCAAUGGGGUGAACGCGCUGGGGCUGGUAGUGUUCUCCAUGUGCUUCGGUUUGGUGAUCGGCAGCAUGAAGCAGAAGGGACGGGCCCUGCGGGAGUUCUUUAACUGCCUCAACGAAGCCAUCAUGAGGCUGGUGGCCAUUAUCAUCUGGUACGCCCCAGUUGGGAUCAUGUUUCUAAUUGCUGGCAAAAUCCUGGAGAUGGAUGACCUGGCGGUGAUGGGAGGCCAGCUGGGGAUGUACACCCUCACCGUCAUCGUCGGGCUCCUCAUUCACGCCCUCUGCAUCCUGCCGCUGCUCUACUUCAUCGUCACCCACAGGAACCCCUGGGUAUUCAUUGCAGGGCUUCUGCAGGCCCUCAUCACAGCCCUGGGCACCUCCUCAAGCUCAGCGACUCUGCCCAUCACCUUCAGGUGCCUGGAAGAAAACAACGGCGUGGACAGGCGCAUCACGAGGUUUGUUCUGCCCGUGGGAGCUACCAUUAACAUGGAUGGCACCGCUCUGUACGAGGCCCUCGCUGCCAUCUUCAUUGCACAAGUCAACAACUACGAACUCGACUUUGGGCAGAUCAUCACAAUAAGCAUCACUGCCACGGCAGCCAGCAUUGGUGCUGCAGGCAUUCCCCAGGCAGGGCUGGUGACCAUGGUCAUAGUGCUGACGUCGGUGGGGCUGCCAACUGAAGACAUUACGCUGAUCAUCGCUGUGGACUGGUUCCUAGACCGCCUUAGAACGACCACCAACGUCCUGGGGGACUCUCUGGGUGCUGGCAUUGUGGAGCAUCUCUCCCGGCAGGAGCUGGAUGCGCAGGAAUGCGAACUCGGUAAUUCUGGGAUAGAGGAGAAAGAGCAGCCCUGCCAGCAGGUCUGCACACACAGCAACAGCCUCAGGCACCCCAGCAGGGAGACAGCGCUGUGAAGUCAGGCAGCAUUACACAUUCAUGCUGUAUAAAGCCAAGACUUGAAGCAGAAGUCUUGGGGGCCAGAGAGGAGGACAGAACACGACAGACUUUCCAACAUCUACACUGUUCUCCCCCACAUGCAGUCUCCCCUGAUCCCUUUUAUCCCCCAUCUCUUUCUGACUGACUUUAAAGAGGAGAAAAUUAAAUGGCAAAGAAACUUUUGUUCCAUGAAAGCCUGGUUUAAUCAUUCUUCCUGGAGUUCAAGAGCUAGACCUGAGUAAAUAAGGCGCAGUGGAUGAGCUGGACCAGGAGCUCUCUCUGUUGUGAGCUGAAGUUGAAGCAUAGUUAAUGGACAAGGUGGGCCGGUGACACCCCCCCUGCGGACUGGCACCAGGAUGUUGGCAUGAUGACUAUUGCUAAUCCUGCAGAUGCAGAGUAGCAAAGCCUUCACUUGGUCAGUGGCUUCCCUUCAAGAUUUUGGCAGCUUUGAGACCUCUGGUGGGCACCAGGGCUCCACUUCGACUCUUCAGUGGCCAGUGCUUGUGAAAAACCAGUGUUCUCCUUGUGUGCACUGCCAGCAUUUGCACAGUGACACCACCGAUGCCUCCUGAGGUCUCCUCACCCCUCUGGCAAUCCUUCUGGCUGUGGGUACUGAGGUCUUCUAUCUCUCAAAAGAAGAUGGGACCAAAGAAUAGGGACAGGGCUGUGCUGGUUGGCAGCACAGAGGUCAGAAUGGCUUUCCAUUCAUGGAAGCAGUGAAUUAUGAAAGCAGCAAACAAAUAAUGGAACGGAUCCACUGUCCAGCCUUUGGACCAGUUCUCCUCUCAGCCAAGCUCUGCCGAACAGUUCACUUUGUUUCCUUCUAAAGAUCUCCUCUCUUAGUGAAAGCAGAAGGGGAAUUGCAAAGCUUAAGAGCAGUGCCUCCCCGAGCAGCUGGUGCUGCCUGCGUGCCAGGGCUGCUCUGUGCCAGCUGUUUCUCAGCUCAGAGGCAGGGACAAAAUCACAGAGCUGUCCUGUGCUCUUCUUGCAUUAAUCACCUUCAUCCAUGCUGCAGUGUUGCAGGGAGAAUGCUGCUGUCUUGGGCUUUUCUCACACUUAAAGUAUACUUAAGCUGUGCUAUCAAAGCUGGUCGGACUGUGCCUGCAGCAUUUGCUGCUAGAGCAAGAGAAAAGCGACGGUCUGUUUCUCACAGAUUUUUAUAAGCUUUGAUUUUGGAGUCCAAUUUUUGAGGCAAAACUGAGCCCUCCAGGCAGAAGGCUGGAACACGUGGUGUGCAGCACUGUUUGUUACUCUCCACAUUCAAGUAAAGGAUUACGAAUGUUCUGAACAUCCGAGCAGCUCCUUGGGCAGCAAUUCUGGGAGUACAGCUGCAGACUAAACAGAGGCAGUUCUUUCAGUAUGCCCUCUCAGGUAAAAAUUACUCACAGUCCCAUCCUCUGGACUUUUCCCUCUCUGUUCCACACCUUUCUCCAAGUGGAUUGAGGACAGCUGGGCAGAACGAUCCAACUGAAGAUCUAUUAGCACAGAGGAAAGAACAUUUCAUGCACACUGAGAUAGAGACCUUGGCUUCAGCUUAGCACGAGUAACAGCACGCUGCUCAGGGGAACCGCUCACAGCUGCAACAAAUUCAGAUUAUUUGUCCAACUUCUCAAGAAAGCAUUGAAUUCUACUCCUGAAGAGACUUCUUGUAUAUAUAUAUAUAUAUAUAAAGGGCAAACCAAGGGAUGAAUUGGAAGACAAGGAGAGAUGGUUGGAUUGGACUCUAGCUCAAAUGGAAUUAAUUCUGGGAAGCCCUACGGCGUGGGUUGUGCAGAGAGGCAGACGAGUUGAUCAUGAGUGUCCCUUCUGGCUUUGUAAUAUAUGCACAUGCUUUCUGGUUUAGAGGUACUGCAGAGGCUCUGCUGAUUGUUUCCAAAAGCUAUCAGAAAGGAUCCUUAUGGUAACUUCUCUGAACUCAGCAGGACUCUGACCUGUUUUCAGUUGCUGUUAGCAGAUGUAAGCCUGUCACAAAGGGCUCUCAUACUGUAUUGCAUUGGCAUCAUCUCACUUGUUCCCACCAGGCAGCAUGCCCCAAGCCUUGCUGUGUGAUUUCUUGCCUUCAACAAAAGAUUAACGAGCACAGAUGAGUAGAUGGCUCCUUUUCCAAUCUUGCAAGCCAGUUUGCUGUGGGGAGUUUCAGAAUAUUUUUUUGCUGUGGUGUCCACCCAUGUUGUGGACCAAUCUAUGAUCAGCAUUAUCCAUUUGUUUACAACACCCAAGCAGUAUGGUCAGGAAUUUGCUUAUAUAUGCACAAAUAUCUACAUGCAGGUGUGUGUGUGCCUAUGAAUGGGGUGCACACGUACAAACACACAAUCAUUCUGCUGCUGAUCCAAGGACAGGCAAUGCUGAACCCUCACUCUGUGAGGUUGCAUCCUUAAUUUUGACACCCAGUGUGAUUUGCAAAACUACUCCCAUCCCUAAAACAACACAAACUGUUUGACAUUACAGUAAUGAGUCUUCUAAAGCAAGGUUUAUUAGGAAGGAGCUCAUUGUGCUGACUGUGGGCUGUGGCUGCUCCCGGUGCGUACAUCCCAAGGUCUCGGGUCCCCACGCUGUCCAGCUUUGCAAGGAGGCAAGCUUUCAAGUGCUCAGCCAGCAAUACAGAAGUGUUUGUACUCCUUCCAAGCUCAAACUCUGACCUCGUACCAACUCAGCCUUCAGAACUGCGCAACUGAAAACAUGAAAUCAUUUUAUCAGCUGUCUUUUUAAGUCAUCGGCUAUUUGGGAACGUGUGUGGUCUUUUCUUUACUGCAGUGCUGCUGCUUCUAGUUGCAGAAACACAGCGAGUUUCUUCUCGUGGCAAAUAAUUUAUCCCUGAUGAUUGGGUGGGCAAUGUUUGGGCUGAAACGGGGAGCUGCUCGAUGCACACAGCCAUGAGGAGCUCUUGGAUCAGGACACAUCCCUUCAAAGGGAAUUUAGGAGAGCAAAGACACGGAACGCAGGUUUUCACACAGCGGGCCGCAGAUUCAGCACAUGGUUUUUGUGUUCCUUCAGGGGCCGGAUCUGCCCAUGGAAUCCGGAAUCACGAAAUCUUUUGCUCUCCGCAGGGGUGAAGGCGGUAACUGGAACUCACUGCUGCAGUGUCGUCGUCGCAUUCGGGCAGUUUGACUGUGUUGAUUGCCAAGGCCUUUCUUUCCAUGCUGUGAGUUUCAGUGUCAAUAAAGAUAGUUUGCAGAUUUGAAAAAUAAAGGGAAUCUUUUUCCACA